AUUGAACGCUGGCGGCGUGCUUAACACAUGCAAGUCGAGCGGUAACGCGGGGGCAACCCUGGCGACGAGCGGCGAACGGGUGAGUAUUACAUGGGAAUCUGCCUAGUAGUGGGGGAAUAACCCGGGGAAACUCGGGCUAAUACCGCAUACGUCCUAAGGGAGAAAGCGGGGGAUCGCAAGACCUCGCGCUAUUGGAUGAGCCCAUGUCGGAUUAGCUAGUUGGUGAGGUAAUGGCUCACCAAGGCGACGAUCCGUAGCUUGUCUGAGAGGACGGCCAGCCACACUGGGACUGAGACACGGCCCAGACUCCUACGGGUGGCAG
rnacentral:rRNA from 1 species